GUUUCCGUAGGUGAACCUGCUGCUGGAUCAUUAC
rnacentral:rRNA from 24 species